rnacentral:tRNA from 1 species
AGCUGGGUGGGCGACGAGGAGUUGCACCGCUCGCACCGGUCCAACCUGGUGGCCAAGGACCCGGCGUUCUACCGCUCCCGGUUCCC